CCUACGGGAGGCAGCAGUCGAGAAUCAUUCACAAUGGGGGAAACCCUGAUGGUGCGACGCCGCGUGGGGGAAUGAAGGCCUUCGGAUUGUAAACCCCUGUUAUGUGGGAGCAAAUUAAAAAGAUAGUACCACAAGAGGAAGAGACGGCUAACUCUGGCCCAGCAGCCGCGGUAAUACAGAGGUCUCAAGCGUUGUGCGGAAUCACUGGGCGUAAAGGGUGCGUAGGCUGUUUCGUAAGUCGUGCGUGAAAGGCGCGGGCUCAACCCGCGGACGGCACAAGAUACUGCGCGACUAGAGUGAGCGAGAGGGAACCGGAAUUCGCGGUGUAGCAGUGAAAUGCGUAGAUAUCGAGAAGAACACUCAUGGCGAAGGCAGCUUCCUGGACAUUAACUGACGCUGAGGCACGAAGGCCAGGGGAGCGAAAGGGAUUAGAUACCCGUGUAGUC
rnacentral:rRNA from 1 species